AACGCACCUUGCGCUCUUUGGCUAUUCCGAAGAGCAUGCCUGUUUGAGUAUCAUGAACACCUCAACUCUCAUGGUUUGCCAUGACGAGCUUGGAUUCUGGAGGUCUUGCCGGCCUGUAGUCGGCUCCUCCCAAAUGGAUCAGCUUGCCAGUGUUUGGCGGCGUCGCAGGUGUGAUAACUAUCUACGCUUGUCGUUGCCUGCCAGAUAACCUCCGGUUACGGUGGUUCGCUGGAGCUCAUAAAUGUCUCUCUUCAGCGAGGACAACUUUGUGAAUGUUUGAUCUCAAAUCAGGUAGGACUACCCGCUGAACUUAA
rnacentral:misc_RNA from 1 species